rnacentral:rRNA from 1 species
AUUGAACGCUGGCGGCAGGCCUAACACAUGCAAGUCGAGCGGAGCGGCGGACGGGUGAGUAAUGCCUAGGAAUCUGCCUGGUAGUGGGGGAUAACGUCCGGAAACGGGCGCUAAUACCGCAUACUAUCACAUGACCCUAGGCCGGAUUAGCUAGUUGGUGGGGUAAAGGCCUACCAAGGCGACGACCCGUAACUGGUCUGAGAGGAUGAUCAGUCACAAGGGAACUGCGACACGGUGCAGACGCCUAGGGGAGGCAGAAGUGGGGAAUAUUGGACAAUGGGCGAGAGCCGGAUCCAGGCAGGCGGGGUGGGUGAAGAAGGUCUUCGGGUGGGAAAGGAGGGUAAGUUGGGAGGCGUUACCAGCAGAAUAAGCACCGGCUAACUACGUGCCAGCAGCCGCGGUAAUUC